rnacentral:rRNA from 1 species
UACAGAGGGGGCAAGCGUUAUCCGGAAUUAUUGGGCGUAAAGCGUCCGUAGGUGGUUUAGUAAGUCUGCUGUUAAAGCGCGGGGCUUAACUCCGUAUCGGCAGUGGAAACUACUAGACUAGAGUGUGGUAGGGGUAGAGGGAAUUCCCAGUGUAGCGGUGAAAUGCGUAGAUAUUGGGAAGAACACCGGUGGCGAAGGCGCUCUACUGGGCCAUAACUGACACUGAUGGACGAAAGCUAGGGGAGCGAAAGGG